UACCUCGCCGUUGUCCGAAGAGAACGACGAUGCUCUCUCUUCUCUCUCUAUUACCGUCUACACUUAGAUCGAUUACUACCUGUCCUCACAACCUAAUCUGAAGCAAUUUCUCAACCUAAGCUACUUUUUAGAUCAUCCAAAGAAAGGAUGAACUUGGUGACAUGAAAAGCAAAUCAGUAGGUGACUAAUAAGGAAGCUUUGGGGAGAAUACAGAAGAUGCUAUGGAAACUAAGAGAUUAGUUUGCAAUUUUACCUUUAUUUUCUACAGUUUGUUUUCUUUUGUUGCCUAUAAUGGUAGACUCUGUAAUUUUCCUCAUAUUCCUCCAAAGACAGAAAAUUUCUGAGCAGGGAUAGUUUUGAUAUGUUAGUUAGUGUUUGUU